GUGGGGAAUAUUGGGCAAUGGGGGAAACCCUGACCCAGCGACGCCGCGUGAGGGAAGAAGGCCUUAGGGUCGUAAACCUCUGUUGUGUGGGAAGAAGAGCGUGACGGUACCACACGAGGAAGUCCCGGCUAACUACGUGCCAGCAGCCGCGGUAAUACGUAGGGGACGAGCGUUGUCCGGAUUUACUGGGCGUAAAGGGCGCGUAGGCGGUCAUUUAAGUCAGCUGUGAAAUGGUUUGGCUUAACCGGAUCAUGCGGUUGAAACUGGAUGACUGGAGUGAUGGAGAGGCAAGUGGAAUUCCCAGUGUAGCGGUGAAAUGCGUAGAUAUUGGGAAGAACACCGGUGGCGAAGGCGACUUGCUGGCCAGCAACUGACGCUGAGGCGCGAAAGCCAGGGGAGCAAACGGGAUUAGAAACCCCUGUAGUCC
rnacentral:rRNA from 1 species